rnacentral:rRNA from 1 species
AUUGAACGCUGGCGGCAGGCCUAACACAUGCAAGUCGAGCGGAGCGGCGGACGGGUGAGUAAUGCCUGGGAAGCUGCCUGGUAGUGGGGGAUAACGUACGGAAACGGGCGCUAAUACCGCAUACUAUCAGAUGAGACUAGGUCGGAGUAGCUAGUUGGUGGGGUAAAGGCCUACCAAGGCGACGAUCCGUCACUGGUCUGAGAGGAUGAUCAGUCACACUGGAACUGAGACACGGUCCAGACUCCUACGGGAGGCAGCAGUGGGGAAUAUUGGACAAUGGGCGAAAGCCUGAUCCAGCCAUGCCGCGUGUGUGAAGAAGGUCUUCGGGUUGUAAAGCACUUUCAGUUGGGAGGCGUUACCAACAGAAUAAGCACCGGCUAACUCCGUGCCAGCCGCCGCGGUAAUUC